AUAAUUUGAUGUUUCUUUAUAAUGUUUACAUGUGCAUUUCUUUCCAUCUAGGAGACACACUUUCACACGCGCCCCAGAAUAAUGUGCAAGAAUGUUCACAGCAGUAUUAUGUCCAUCAACAACAGAAUGGACACAGAACUUGGUACUCCACAGUGUGAAGGUACCACAGCAGCAAUGAAGGGCAGCCACUGCAGUUACACGCCAUCAGCAUGGACUCAUCUGUCAACCCCCAACAGAAGGAAGGCACAAGAGAAUAAAUGCAGUACAAUUCCACAUGUAUAAAGUUCAAGGGCAUGCAAAGUGAAACUAUAGGCAGGCACAGGAGGGAAGCAAAUUGAGGAUGAUUAUCACAAAAAUCAGUUAAGAAAACACAAACUGCAUCAUCCAAAAAUACACCUUUGGUCCACGGAUGCCACUGGAAGACAUCUGAAUUUUAGACCUCCAGAGAGAAGAUCUGGGUGGCUAGCUCCAGAGUGGAGGCAUGCUUGCUUUUUCUUUACACUUGUGAAGAGGAAUGGAUCCGGACAUCUGCAAUCUGGGUAGAGGACGGCAGGCAGCAAGCUUAGCCACUCGGCCAGGCUUCUCAGCCCUUACUCUAGACAUGUGAUCCUUCCUCCACGUGAUAU
rnacentral:lncRNA from 1 species